GGAAAACAACUCUCAUCAUUUGCAAGUAUCUGCUCAAACAUCCUCAGUGAUUGCCUGUUUCUUUUUUUCCUGAGCAUAGUAUCGGGUUGAAUCCACGGCAGGAACAAGAGAGUGACAUGAUUGAACCAACAUGAAGAUGAACUUUGCUGUCAUGUGCCUGAUGGGCUGGGUCAGGAGGAAGAUGGAUCAGCAAGAGUGGUCAGAAGCCUGUGGAGGUGAACUUGAGACCCUUUUCCAUUUCACAAAAAUACCCAUUUUCACUGGGAUGAGAAGUGAGCCACCCAGAGCAGCAGUGCUUAUUCGAAUCCUCCAUGGGUUUCUGGCAGCAGAUGGGGAGCGAGCCCUCCCCAGCUCUUGAGUGGCUGUAAUGGACCAAGGAAGGUGACCGAAGUUCCAGAUGCUGGCCUUCUGCCCGGCCUCUUGAAAAAUGGUGGUCAGUCUAGCUGUGGCAUUGGCAGCAGCAGCAGAAUAUGUGCAAUUCCUUGAAAAACUGAGGGCAAGUUAAAGCUGACUGUGGAAGAGAGCAAUCCCGAUGUACUGAGGAAAUCCUUCAAGAUCCUCUCCUAACCAUUGGUUGGCACUUUUGGCCUCGGAUCUCAAAGGACUUAACUACCAGUGGCAUCUCACAGUGUCUGUGAGAUUCUGUGCAUUUCUUCUGGAGUGAUCUGAUGCACGGUUAUGACUCGCCGAUACCUACACAAGCUGUAGGCCAUUUUCCAGUGAUUGAAGCCACUGUUUUGGAAAGGGUGGAUGCCCAGCUUUCUCAGACACAGUCCUACGUAGACAUCUUCGAGGUCUCUCGGAUGGCUUGCCGGGCAUCGAACUCCUUGUGCGUUGUGCUGAUGAGGAUGACAAGGAAGGGGACGCUCUUCUCACACUUGUUAGAUUCUUGUGGUGCACAUAUGCCUCCGACCAUGUCCACGGCAUGUCUGAUGUACACCUCCUACUCCGUGGACUCAGAGGAGAUACAUCUUUAAAGAUGGCCAGAGAAAUCAUUCACGUAAUCAUAAAGGCUCAGAAGUCCAGCAACACAUGAUCAGCUUCUG